rnacentral:rRNA from 1 species
UACGAAGGGUGCAAGCGUUACUCGGAAUUACUGGGCGUAAAGCGUGCGUAGGUGGUGAGUUAAGUCUGUCGUGAAAGCCCCGGGCUCAACCUGGGAAUGGCGAUGGAUACUGGCUCGCUAGAGUGCGGUAGAGGAGAGUGGAAUUCCCGGUGUAGCAGUGAAAUGCGUAGAGAUCGGGAGGAACAUCAGUUGCGAAGGCGGCUCUCUGGACCGACACUGACGCUGAGGCGCGAAAGCUAGGGGAGCAAACGGG